GAGCCAAUGAGAGGGGCGGCUCUUUCAAAUGAAAGCCUGGCUUCGGCCAAUCAAGGGGAGGCGGAUUUGGGACAUACAGUUCUUGUCAAUUGUGCCUUGAACAGUCGAAUGUCAAUUUCUGGGAAAGUAAUGAGAAACUGAAAAUGACUGCAGUGGAAUGAAGAGCUGGAAAAUAAACUGAUUCUUUAUAAUUCUUGUCCAAAUAAGAAGAGGACUUGAGAUUGUCAACAGGUGCUCCAGACAGUUGCUCCUUGCAGGAGACCACAAGACAGUUUAUAGCUCUGGGAGAUGAGACUAGCCAUCUUUUAGCUGAAAUCAUGGUUGGCACCUUCAAAAAGGCAUUAGGUUUGCGUACUCUCUUUUCUAAUCACUGGGAAAUCGUUAAUUGCUUCUCAGUUAUCAGGGACCUUUGGAUUGACAGGUUUUACAGCAUCCUUCAGUCCUUAGCAAAAGAAAUUUAAAAUACAUGUCAUAAAGCAAACACAUUUUUUGCCAUGGGGCAAUAUUUGCUGGAAACCAGAAAUAAAUACUGGUUUCCAGCAAAAACAUAAAUUGCAAUCACAUGAUUGCAGGGGGCUGGAAGUGGCAAAAAUGCAGUCAUGUGACCAUGGGAUAGGGCAGAACUUCAAAAGCAAGUUAUAAAUCUCAAUUUUGGGGUUCAUUGUAUCUUUGAAUGGUUGCUAAGCUGCCAAUUGUAAGUUGAAGACUACCUGUAUUGUGUAUUCUUACUUUUUCCUUCUUUUCCACUUUUCUUUUUUUUUCUACACCAUCUAUUUUUUCUUUUAAUUCUCUUUGCAGCAUUUUAAAUUGUAAUUUUUAAUAAAGUUACUAUAAAACAG